GGAGUUUCGUAUAUCCAAUCGUGGUAAGCGGCAAUUGCUCGUCUACAAAGGUUACACGUUUGCCUCAAUGGGCAAUCGAGAACGGUGGUAUUGCUCGAGGAAAAAUAAAGGCUGUAAAACUCGGGUUAUCUUAGUUGACAAUUCAGUUAAGGCUGUUGGAGUUCAUAAUCAUACACCUCCUAAAUUAUUUAGAACAUGGUGAUGGAGGCAGGACAACUUCUUAAAAGUGUGAUUUGGAUUGAUGUAAAGUUUAUUCGGAGUCGACGAGGAAACGGUCGCUUACUGCUGUAUAAAGGACACACUUAUGUUACAAUGAGGACAAAGAACAGAUGGUAUUGCUCUAAGAAAGCAAAGGGGUGCAAAGCCAAGUUAACGGUUAUAGGAUCGUACGUGGAGCAAUGUGGUACACACGAUCAUUCCCCACCAGUCCUGUAUACGGCUUCUGACGGGACGAUACAUAAAUGUAGAUAGCAAUUUCAGCUGUUCUCGUCAAAAGAAACACAAUUAAGGUAAUUGACUCCUGCAGGUAGGUCAGUAGCCCGUUCAAUAGGUAGGUACCUACUUUUGUGAUAAAUAUGUGUUAUAUUUUCUUUUAUAUCUGAAAGUACACCACUUUGGUUAGUGACGAAUCACAUUGAAAGCAGAUACUUUAAAGAUGUUCUAUUUGUCUCAAUAAACUAAUUUGAUAAGA